rnacentral:lncRNA from 1 species
AAGAAGCUGCUUUUGUGAAAAAGUUCAUUCCAAUCUUCUUUUGUUAGUUUAUUUCCUCAAAAUGGGUAAACUAAGAUUGGCGACGAUGCAAUAAACUUAUCUUUACAAUCUCAGGAUCAAAUGCAAUAAACUUACUUUUACAGACAAUACAAAAUAAUCACUUAUAGAAACCAUAUAAAAUAUAAUUUGUAACUAUAAUAGGAAUAGAGAUGGACCUUAGAAGGAGUAGGUGAGUCCAUGAACAAAUAAGAAACCAGUACAGGAUCACGAUGAAACGGAAUCUCGUCGGACGACACUCUAACCUCGACGGAACUGAACAGACCCAACGAACAGAGCUAGCGACCUAUGAACGGGCUUUAAAGGGACUCGAUCUCAACAGAAAUGUUACACUAAAUGGAACAACGAACUUGAAACUCAGUCGACAACAUCAAACGAACUCUCCACGAGCUUUAAAUGAACUCCAUUGACGAAACAAAAUUUUGUCGCCGGUUUCCGGCCAUCUCCGGUGGUGAAGGAGCAGCAACCGGUCUGCUGUGAGGUGAAGAAGAAGGAACGGUGACGAGGGGUGUGUUGGUGAAGGUUUUGCCGCUGGCGUGAGGUCGGAUCGUUCGGUUGCUUCUUCUCCUUUAAUCUCUAUGUGUUUUUGUUAAUGAAGAUGGUGAAGAAGCAGAACGGAUGGGAGGGUAUGACUCUUGGCUGAAGAGAGAUUCCUUUGGUCUCUAGUGUUGAAAUGGACGAUAUGGAGAUGGAGUUUUGCUAGGGUUUUGUUUGUGAAGAAGGAGAUGAACUGGUGGGGGGGUCUCGUUUUGUGUAUUGCGGCGGAUCUCUUAGGCGUUAGGAAAUUAGCUCCUCAUUUUUUUUGUCCAAAACGGUUGUCCGCCCCUAGAGUGUAUAGGUUUAGGUUAGUUUUGUAGGUUUUUUAGGUUAAGGGGUAUGAACCUAGGAAUUAUGGGCUAGGGACGAAAAUUAGGCUUAAAAUGGGUUGUUUGAGCCCAAAUUUUAUUCUUUCUCUAUGUACAAGACUAAAAAUACGAACUCAUUUGCCAAUUAAUCCUACUUAAGUAAAAUAACUAUUAAGAUAAAACUAAUCGUUAAAACAAACAUAUUUUUUUUUGGUAUUUUCAAAUAUCAUAUUAAAAUAAAAUAAGGUACUAUUUUUUAGUUUUACGAAAGGUAUAUAAAGUAAAAGCAACUAAAAAGAAGAAAUAUUUUUUGUAAUUUUUAUUUUUUUGAUAAAACAAAGUGAAAGAACCAAAACUAAUUGAAAUAUCGAUAUUAAGCAUAAACUAAAUAUUUUACGCCAAAAUGGGUGAAAUCUCGGGGAGGGUCAAAAAUCACAUGUCUACAGCUGCUCCUCUUUGAUUGGAAAUGCGAAGAGUUUUCAGACAAAGAACGACUAUAUAGGUUUUUUUUACCCGACCCUUAUUUAAGGAGACCAAAAACUAAGAGAAAGGAGAGUGUGACUGAGUCCUGGUAUCUGAGUUGCCUACAUAUCCUUGGCUAUCAAGAAAUCAGGCCACGUAUAGUUCAGAAGUAGAAAUAGUGAUGGCGUAUACUGAGGUGGAGAGCCGGUCGAGGUGUCGUUCUGUCGAGGUUCCGGUCUGCGGUCCUGUUGUUACAUCACAAUCAAAAAAUGAAAAAGACUAACUAAGUUUGUCAACUAUGAGUUACAAGAUUCCUAUUUAUAAGUCUUCUGAAGCAUGAACUUGAGUCUUGAAUGGUUCUUCAUGCAGACUUUGGAUUUGAACCUUGAUUCUUGCUAGUUGCAGGUGCUAGUUCAUUCUUCUUCAGCUUUUCGGAUCAAAACCGGACAUACCAUGCUUGUGACUUCAGUCAUAUCUUGAGCAGCUCACAUCUUUCAUCAACUUCUGCAUUUGGAUUCACUUCUUGCGUUUUUUUAUUCUGGACUGUGACUAACUUCCGUUGAUUAUCUCGGACUUUUGACUCGCAUUCUUGCCGCGAGCUUCUUUUGUUGUUGACUUGAAUUGCAUUCUGAAGUGAAUUCCCUUGUUUUUCAAGUGGGUGCCUGAUUGCCAAAACUUGAACUGUCUUCCUUCCAAACUUGAAUUGUCUUCCCUUGUUCUCCAGGUGGGCGCCUGAUUGCUGAACUUGAACUGUCCUCCUUCGAAACUGCUUUCCCUUCAAACUUGAAUUGUCUUCCCUUGUUCUCCAGGUGGGCGCCUGAUUGCUGAAACUUUUUGUGUUCCCUUAUUUUCCAUAUGGGUGUCUGCAAUCAAAACAAACAACACAAAUGAAAUUUUCUGUCCCAGUUUGCACUAGGAAGAUUUGUGAGUUGUUAGCAAAACUGUAAACCACUUGUGCUAUUGAUGCAAUGAUGAGAGUAAACUAAAGACUCGACUAGGAUAUGCAUCUCCUGUGAGUAAAACCAAGAAACUUUUACCAGCAAAUGCGUCUGCUAAAAAUAAAAACUAAAUGACCCAGAUCAGGAAAUGCGUGUCCUAAGGGUGAAACUUGAAUGAACCAAACUAGGAAGUGCGUCUCAUAUACAUUGAAUUUAAAUGACCAAAGCUAGGAAGUGCGUCUCCUAGGGGUAAACUCUCAAUUUAAGAAGUGCGUCUCAUAAAACAUAAUAUAACUUGAAAGACCCAGACUAGGAAGUGCGUCUCCUAAAACAAACAUAUAACCUGAAAACCCAGACUAGGAAGUGCGUCUCCUAUGGGUGAAACUUCAAUGACUCAAACUAGGAAGUGUGUCUCCUAUGAAUGAACUCUCAAUUUAGGAAGUGCGUCUCCUAAAAGUAUAUCCUGAAAGAUCCAGACUAGAAAGUGCAUCUCCUAGGGCUGAAACUUCAAUGACUCAAACUAGGAAGUGCGUCUCCUACGAAUGAACUUUCAAUUUAGGAAGUGCAUCUCCUAUGGGUGAAACUUCAUUGACUCAAACUAGGAAGUGCGUCUCAUACGAAUGAACUCUCAAUUUAGGAAAUACAUCUCCUAAAAGAAUAACUUGAAAGACCUUGAUUAGAAAGUGUGUCUCCUAUGAAUGAACUCUCAAUUUAGGAAGUGCGUCUCCUAAAAGUAUAUCCUGAAAGACCCAGACUAGGAAGUGCAUCUCCUAGGGGUGAAAUCUCAAUGACUCAAACUAGUAAGUGCGUCUCCUACGAAUGAACUCUCAAUUUAGGAAGUGCUUCUCCUAUGGGUGAAACUUCAAUGACUCAAACUAGGAAAUACGUCUCCUACGAAUGAACUCUCAAUUUAGGAAGUGCGUCUUCUAUAGGUGAAACUUCAUUGACUCCAAUUAGGACGUGCGUCUCCUAGGGGUGAAUUUUAAAUGACCAAGACUAGGAAGUGCGUCUCCUAGGGGUGGAAUCUCGAUUUAGGAAGUGCAUCUCCUACAACAAAAUAUAACUUGAAAACCCAAACUAGGCAGUGUUUCUCCUAGGGGUGAUGUGUGAUCUUCCCAAUAGCCUUUGCGUAAGCAGAAUUGGGGCAUUACACCUGAAAAAUUCAAACUUCCAAUCUUUGAUAUGAACAUAACUUUCGUCCCUGUUUCAGAAAAAGAAACCUUGUGAGUUUAAACAUGGUAGUUGGAUUUGUGGCCUUGACUUUGAGGGGAAUUACUCCUUCACUUGCCAUGAUAACUUUGAUUUCAACACGAAAGACAUUGCUUGUGUAUUGACCAACCACUUUCUCUGUCACCCUUAUCACAGAAGAUACCUCUGAUUCAUUUAAACCCAAACCCCCUAUAUGUUGCAUUGUGCUCAUUAAUUGACAUAUACCGAACCUUUGUAUUUCACAUGAAUCCCAAAGCACGUUGAUUGUUACCAACUCAGUGCGCUUGCUGUUCUUUCCUAACGUAUGCCACUGGCCUUGGCCUUGAGGUCUAUUGCUCCUUCACUUGCCAUGAUAACUUUGAUUUCUACUUGGAAGACCUUGCUUGUUAUUGGUUAACCACUUUCUCUGUCAACCUUAUCACAAAAAAUACCUCUGAUCCGUUCAAACCCAACAUCCUCUAUUUGUUGCAUUUUGCUCAUGAAUUGACAUUUACCGAACCUUUGUAUUUCAUAUGAAUCCCAAAACACGUUGAUUGUUACCAACUCAGUGUGCAUACUGUUCUUUCUUGACUUAUGUUGCUUUGAUGUGCUAACCAGAUUCCGUUUUGCGCAAUCGAAAAACUGGUAGCAAAUUUUGAAGUCAUUUGUCACUUGUUCUAACCAAACAGACUCAGGAAGAGGAAGUAAACAAAACAAAAGGACCAGAGUAAGGGACAAUGGAAAGAGAUGAUACCUAACGAGAAAAUUACGAAGUAGAAACUUAUGAGAUGUGGAUACCAACUUUAAUGACCAUGACAUGCACCUUUGGAUUAAGUGGCCUAAUCUGUCAAGUAAAUCUACUGUUAAACUCUUGUUGUACCUCUUUGCCAUGAAACUGAGCUUCAAUGCUCCGAUUAUCCUAUCUGAUUUACGAUCCUUAUUCGACUUGUAGUACCCGAAGGGUUUUCACCAUCAAGCCUCUCUCAUUUUGUUCUUUCUCUCAACUCACUGUCGCCUUAUGGUGCCUGUGAAGGUUUUCACCAAUAAGACUCUUUCAUUUUGUUCUUUUUCUUCUUAUUUCCUCUGAUUUUGCAGAUGACAAGGCCUUAACCAUGGUAAAAAUAUCAUAUGCUCUUGGCAUGGCUAACUCAGCACUCUCAAAGAUUAUCUGGGAGGUCUUUUUUGAACUGUAAUGUGGCUUUUGGACAGGGUUAGAAAGAAAGGAUAUCAUAGAGGCUCAAAACAACUAAGAUAACAGGGUUAAUUUAUUUACAACUUUUGGAAUCCAUUUUAAACUUUGCCCCAAUUUCUAAAACAAGAGAAUUUGAUUUUCUUUUUUUUUCUUUUCUUUUUCUUUUUUGAGAUGGUCUUUCUACGAAAGACUGCCCCACUCUUGGGUUUGUGGGAUUAUGGAAUUUUUUAUUUGGUAUGACCGAACCGUAAGACUGCCUACGUAUCUUGUGGUGACAAGAAUCAGGUCAAACGUAGUUCACAAGACUACUUUUUUUUGUUGCUAUUCUUCUUUUUUUCUUCUCUUUUUUUUCUUCUUUUUCUUUUUCUAUUUUCUCUUUUGAUUUUUCUUUUAGAAUGAACUUUCUAAAAUAAACCUAUGGGGACAUGGAUUUUUUUCUUUUCUUUUUAUGAAUCUGACUUGAUUCCAAAAGAGGGGAGGUCAAGAAAAUUAGCACAGGCUCACAAAGGGGUAACGAAUGGUAUAAAGUGUUUGGGCAGCUGAAAGAGGGCCUCCUAAUCCCUGAAAAUGCCAAGUAUAACACAUGCGACUUGAAAAAUGAAAAAGAAAAAUCAUGCACAACAUUUCUUUUGCAGCUUCGACAUUGAUAUCACUGAUAUUCCUUCCAUUUUCUUUAGUGCCUUGUCAAGUACAGAGCUCUCGUUGGGUAAUUUCUUCUUCACAAUGAAUGCCCUCCAUCUGUUUGGAGAAAACUCCCUUAGCUUUAUCUCGUAACUUGAGAUGCACUUGAACUCAAAGUUGCUCACUUCACGUUGUUGGGACGCACUCUCUUGUAAUAAAUUCCUGUCAUCCUCUCAACUUUCCAAACCAUCUGCCCUAGUUUCACACAAUUCGGGCUUUAAAUGGUCUCGAAAUAUCCAAUCUUUACUUAUUUCCCUCAAAUAUCCUUGUCAUCUUCAAAAUUAUUUCAUUGUUUCAUGAUUAAACUAACUUUUAAGACUAGACUGAGAAUUACGCGUGCAUGUCAUGUCACUAGAGUCAGCAGGAAAAGAACUAUAAAAGGAAAAGAGAACUAAACAAACAUUGACUAGAAAUAACAGAAAAUAGGAAAUUGCAUUAGACAGAUGGUGAAAGGGUUCGAACAACAAAACAAGUAAAAUAAACUAGGGUUACAACCCUGAACAAACCUAGAUAACACUAAACGGAUUACUACGACUAAACGAACCAGACAAAAUAAAAGGAUAGAAGGGUUUGAGGCACAAGACAAUAUCCGGAUUACAACCCUGAAAUAAGUCGGACAACAGAAAUGACAACAAAAUGAACAACCAAGACUCCUCCCUAGCUAGCCAAGAAAGGAACGUCUUUCCAGUUACCAAGUUCGACAUCUUAGCCACUGAGUUUCGCAUCAACAUUACUAGAACCUUCACACGUCUCCAUCACAUUGACCUUAGUAAAUUACUUUUGGGUCCUUUUUGCCAACUCAUUCUUAAGAUCAACUUUUGGAACCGAGACUGAUAGCGCUGAAAACUUUGCAGGUGGCCUUCCAAGGAACUCAGAAGAGUUUUCAUAUUCAUUUUCAACACAAAUCAUGCCCACCUCAUGCGUCUCAUUAUGAACAGGCAAUGGACUUUGGCUAGUAUCCGCUGCAUUUGGAUUUUGUACGGUAAUGUCACCUGCAUCGACAAGUUUCUAGACUGCUCUUUUCAGACUCCAACACUUUUCUAUGUUGUGCCCUGGGGCAUUAGAGCAAUAUGCGCACCUUUGAGAAUAAUCAAAAUUCUUUGGAAGAGGGUUCGACAUUUUUAUCUGAAUCGGCUUCAACAUAUCCAAUUGCCUCAAUCUUUGGAAUAGACUGGCAUAUGAUUCUCCAAUAGGAGUGAAAGACUUUUCUCUUUUUUGCUGCCUUGUCAUUUUGGACUCCGGCCUUGGUUGGAACCUUUUGCGGGUAGGUGGUUGAUAUGCUUGAGGAGUCGGGUAAGAUAUUUGCAGAAAUGGUGCAGGCCAUCGCGGGUCUAGUGGGUAUGGAGCAUAUGACGGUGCAUUGUAGAUAGAGUACUGGGAAGGUGAGGUAUGACCUUGGGGAUUUUGUGGAGAAAAAUAGCAUUGGGGAGGAUUAUCUGGAGCACAGGGAUAUCCAUGGAGUCGAUAUUGAGGCUGAAAGCGUUGAGCAGGAAUGCCCACUGGAUCUUGUCAUUGGCGGGGCUCAGCAACAUUCUUUUCUAUCAAUAGGAGGACUAUCCCAGGCCACUUGUUCAUUCCAUCUGAACCAAAACUCCCUACAAUAUUCCUUGGGUUUUUUUUCCAUCUGAGAUAGGGAGGAACGAUCUGGGGUAAUGUCUAGAUUGUACUGAAAGUGUCGAACAAAAUCUUGAGCCAUGUCAUCACAUGCAUGCCACUUAUUAACAUCUUGACGAGUAUACCAUUCCAAAGCUGCCCCAGUCAAGCUCUCACUGAAAUACGCCAUCAACAAAUCAUCUUUCCCGCCAACACAUCUCAUUUCACUGCAGUAACCUCUCAGAUGGGCUACUGGAUCUCCACGUCCAUCAUAUAAAUUAAGCUUUGGCAUUUUAGACCCUUUCAGCUUUCUGGAUAGCUCAUCUUUCUCCACUGUCUUAGUAGGCUUUGCAGUCUCACCAGGAGGCUCAAAAUGAGGAGCGUAAGAGUACGGACCAAAGGCCUUGAAAAUUGGUUCUGGAGCAUAGUGUUGGAUAUCGAGGACUUUGAACACAGUCUCGCUAGAGGAUCGAGGAAGAGUAGCUAGAGGAGGGGCUACAAGAGCAUGAGUGGCCAAAGGGGCGGGAUAUGAGGUGGUUUUGGGGGGUAGAGUGUGAAAAUGUUGUGGGGAGAUAUCAGCAGCAGUGAGAAUCUGGAUUUGUGAUAGUGGUGGGAUAGUUAUCGGGUUUUCAAUGUAGUUAGUGGGAAAUGAAGGUGGAGGAUGCCCCCUGAUCCAAGACUGAUACAUUUAUGUCAUCUGUUGUUUCAACAUUUGGACCUCCCCUUUCAACUCAGAUUCUAAUUCAACAAUUCCCUUAGACGGAUCAAUAACCCCUGUGUCCAAGUUUUUGCUAGCCAUGACUACCUUGCUCUUUAACCUUGUGUUGUAUGGAAAAGUUACCAGUUUAAAAACCACAAACCAACAACCAUUCUGCUAUAAUGAGGAUAACAAAGAGGAACAAAAUGAAGUCAUCAUGUUAGUGUUAGGGCAUUUAACACCUAAAAAUAUCACAUUACGUGCAAUGCACCUAACAACAAUUAAUGGUUCAAGAAUGACUUCGAGGGUCACAAGGUCACUUGGCAUCAUCCCAAUUUGUCCAUUUGAAUCUUCUCUUUUCUUUUCUAACACUUCUUGGCUUGCUCAUUUUCCUUCCUCUUCUCUUUACUUUUUUAAUCAUCAUUCUUUUCUUUCUCUCAUUUCUCACAUCCCAUAAUUUCGCCUCUCUUUUUUUCUUUUUUUCCUUUUCUUUUAAUAGAAAAAAAAUNNNNNNNNNNNNNNNNNNNNNNNNNNNNNNNNNNNNNNNNNNNNNNNNNNNNNNNNNNNNNNNNNNNNNNNNNNNNNNNNNNNNNNNNNNNNNNNNNNNNNNNNNNNNNNNNNNNNNNNNNNNNNNNNNNNNNNNNNNNNNNNNNNNNNNNNNNNNNNNNNNNNNNNNNNNNNNNNNNNNNNNNNNNNNNNNNNNNNNNNNNNNNNNNNNNNNNNNNNNNNNNNNNNNNNNNNNNNNNNNNNNNNNNNNNNNNNNNNNNNNNNNNNNNNNNNNNNNNNNNNNNNNNNNNNNNNNNNNNNNNNNNNNNNNNNNNNNNNNNNNNNNNNNNNNNNNNNNNNNNNNNNNNNNNNNNNNNNGUCGCAUGAAUCAGAGUAGUUCGGAAGAUCGAGAAUAAAGUAACCAAACUAACGUUCUCUUUUUCUUUUUUUUUCCUUUUUUUUCCUUUUUACCUUAAUGACUACUCCGAUGAGAAAAGAGAAAUAAGAGACUCAAAUCUUUUUUUUUUGAAUUUUCUAGACUUAAUGUUCUAUAACGUAUUCUAAACUCAAACUUAACAAGCAUAUAUUUGUUUUCCUUUUUUUUUUCUUUUUGAAACAAAUACUCUAUGGGAAAUUAUUAAGGAAACAAUCCUAGAAGAGAAAAAUAUUUUUUGAUUUUUUUUAGGAAGGAAAUCUAAAGAAUAAACCAAAGAAAAUAUCUUAAAUUUUCAUUUGAUAUCCCUGAAGAAAGAUUUUGAAACGAGAAAUGAACAAGAUAAAAAAUGUUUUUGGAUUUCAGUUUGAUUACCUAAGGGAGAAACUUUAAAGAUAAACAAAAGAUAAAGUAUGUUGUUUUUCUUCUUCUAUGUACAAUAUACUAAAGUUCUAAUGAACAUAAUUUAUUUUUUAUUUUUCAUUAGUUUCCCAAAGAAGAACCUCAAAAAAAAAUCUUUUUGGAUUUUUGCAAUUAAUACCUUAAAGAAAACAUUUUAAAGAGGUAGUAAAAGAAAAUUCUCUUAUUUUUAGUCUUAAUGUACUAAAAGGAAGUAUAAAAGUAAUUUUUUAUUUUGAGUUCUAGAUAUUAAUUUCCUAAGGAAAACCACAAAAGAGUUUUUUUCGAACUUCUAGAGUUAGUAUUCUAAAGAAAACAUCUAACAGAAAUAUAAAACGUAAUUUUUUUUGGAUUUUUGAUUUGUUACAUAUCUUUUUUUCAAUACAAAAUAGGAAAUACAAUAACAAAAGACUCGACAUUACUGUACAAAAUUAGAAGGUAAAAGACGACAUAAAAAUAAAAACAUAUUCAAAACAUAAAAAGAAAAAUCUACUUAAGCAACUCCUGAAUGAGCGAUCCUAACUGGAUGGUCCUAGGGCGUCUGUCAUGAUCAAACUCCGAUACAUCUGCAUGAGAAAAUUAAGACCAAAUAAAGUUAAAGACCUAGAAUGCUAUGUGAGACAAUAACCCUUCCUGUUGGACACAUUCAAGACAUGAUUGUGACUAUUUUUCUAAAAAUUAACCUAUGUAGCUAAAGGUGGCUAAAAAUGCAAGAUUUGACUAAGACCCCGCGAAGCCAAGAACCUAAACUCACUAGGAAGACCAGACCCUAUGUGGGUUGCCUACGUAUCACGCCUUGAAAGACGAGAAUCAGGUAUGCGUAGUUCGGGCAGAUUGGUUACGGACAUUAGAAAAAAUAACUAAUUUAGAGAAUAUAUAUUUUUUGUCUUUUUUUUUUUGAAAAAUGAUGAAACAUGUAAACUCUUUUUGGUCUUUUCUUGAAAAAGUGAGAAAGAAAAUUAUAAUUAGGCCCUAUUUUCUUUAUAUUCACACCUCACCCUCUUUUCUUUCUAAUUUACCCUCAACCAACAUUGGUCCGCCAAAUGACCCGUUUACCCUUGAAGAUUGCAACAUGUAGCACAUAGAAUGCAUCAGGUUGGUCUUUUAUUUUUAGGUACAUCUGUCCUAGACGGACCCAACCCCGGUGUUGAGUCCUCAAAGUCAAAUACACGUGAUGCAAGUAAAUGUUCCUACUAGGGAUCCGACAUGAGGUUAUGCUAUUCUAAGUUUAAACCUGAGGUUGUGUUCUUGACCUGGCUUACCCGAGCAGACAACUCGAGCCGAAGAGGGGGCAACGUACCGGGAGCACUAAAGUAUACCCGGCCUUGCUGUUGGCCCAGCCUUGUUCUAUUUGGUAUAACUUCUACAGAAAAAGUGGGCCACGCGAACGUGUGCACCAUUUUUAGAAGACUCAGAGGGGUGGUGUAAGAAGACAGUUAUAUACAAUUCAAAUAAUAUCAAAGCGUUAAAUAAGAGGUAAUUAACACAUUAGGCCCACAAAUACAGUAAUAUCAACAAACAAUAAAGCCAAGCAUAAAUGAUAUUAACAACCUCGAAUUCUUGAACCCUGAACCAGAAGUUGGGGGUUCUUGUCCCCAGCAGAGUCGCAGAGCUGUCACACCUCCUUUUUUACUACCCUAAAAGGGUAUAUAUGGGAGUUUUUCCAGUUUAUGUGACAAUCGAAACAGGAUUAUUAUUUAAAAUCAGAGUCGCCACUUGGGAUAAUUUAUGGUGUCCCAACUCAUCGGUUUAAAAUACCGAAUCGAGGAAGUUGACUCUUAUUUAUGGUCUGCGAACAAAGAAAUCCGGGUAAGCAAUUCUAUUAACCCGGGAGAAGAUGUUAGGCAUUCUCGAGUUCCGUGGUUCUAGCAAGGUCGUUUUGAUCAUACUUGGCUUAAUCAAAUUGUCUAAUUAUUCAUUUUAGAACCUAUGCGUAUUUGCCUUUUUUAAUUAAGCAACUAUCUUGAAACGGGUCACACGCACGUGUACCCAUUUGUUUGGCGCGUCAAAAAUCAUGUCAUGCGAACGUGUCCACGAUCAAUAACGCUUUGUUAUUAUUACGAUUGUUUUUGGCCAAAGUUGCGCGAACGCAUACCUCAAUUUAUUUUCAAAAGAAUCGUAAUCAUGUCACGCGAACGUGUACACAAUUGCAAUAGUUUGAUUAAACAACAACAAAAACUAUAGUUCGAUUAUGAGAACUAGAAAAUCAAGCUUAUCAACCUUAUUCCAAAUUAAUGAUACUACGACGUAUUUAAAAAUGAAAGAAGCUGCUUUUUUGAAAAAGUUCAUUCCAAUCUUCUUUUGUUAGUUUAUUUACUCAAAAUGGGUAAACUAAGAUUGGCAACGAUGCAAUAAACUUAUAUUUACAAUCUCAGGAUCAAAUGCAAUAUACUUACUUUUACAGUGAUCCACCAACAGGCAAUACAAAAUAAUCACUUUUAGAAACCAAAAAAAUAUAACUUGUAACUAUAAUAGGAAUAGAGAUGGACCUUAAAAGGAGUUUUACUUCUGAUCUUUACAGUAGGUGAGUCCAAGAACAAAUAAGCAACCAGUACAGGAUCACGAUGAAGCGUAAUCUCGUCGGACGACACUCUAACCUCGACGAAACUGAACAGAGCUAGCGACCUACAAAUGGGCUUUAACGAGACUCGAUCUCAACUGAAGCAUUACAUUAAAGGGAAUGACGAACUUGAAACUCAGUCGACAACCUCAAACGAACUCUCCACGAGCUUUAAACGAACUCCAUCGACGAAACAAAAUUCCGUCGUCGGUUUUUGGCCAUUUCUAGUGGUGAAGGAGCAGCAGCCGGUCUGAUGUGAGGUGAAGAAGAAGGAACAGUGACGAGGGGUGUGUUGGUGAAGGUUUUAUUGCUGGUGUGAGGUCAGAUCGUUCGACUGUUGCUUCUCCUUUAAUCUCUGUGUGUUUUUGUUAAUGAAGAUGGUGAAGAAGCAGAACGGAUGGGAGGGCAUGACUCUUGGCUGAAGAGAGAUUCCUUUGGUCUCUAGUGUUGAAACGGCUGAUAUGGAGAUGGAGUUUUGCUAGGGUUUUGUUUGUGAAGAAGGAGAUGAACUGAUAGGGGUGUCUCGUUUUGUAUAUUGCGGCGGAUCUCUUAGGCGUUAGGAAAUUAGCUCCUCAUUUUGUUUGUCCAAAAUGGA